rnacentral:rRNA from 1 species
ACGGGAGGCAGCAGUGAGGAAUAUUGGUCAAUGGGCGCAAGCCUGAACCAGCCAAGUCGCGUGAAGGAAGACUGCCCUAUGGGUUGUAAACUUCUUUUGCAUGGGAAUAAAGUGAGCCACGUGUGGCUUUUUGUAUGUACCAUGCGAAUAAGCAUCGGCUAACUCCGUGCCAGCAGCCGCGGUAAUACGGAGGAUGCGAGCGUUAUCCGGAUUUAUUGGGUUUAAAGGGUGCGUAGGCGGGAUGGUAAGUCAGUGGUGAAAGUUUGCGGCUCAACCGUAAAAUUGCCGUUGAAACUGCCGUUCUUGAGUGCGAGCGAGGUAGGCGGAAUGUGCCGUGUAGCGGUGAAAUGCAUAGAUAUGACGAAGAACACCGAUUGCGUAGGCAGCUGACCAGGCCGUAAAUGACGCUCAUGCACGAAAGUGCGGGGAUCGAACAGGAUUAGAUACCCUGGUA